GACGAACGCUGGCGGCGUGCCUAAUACAUGCAAGUAGGACGCAGUUGCGAACGGGUGAGUAACGCGUAGGUAACUACCUAUUAGAGGGGGAUAACUACUGGAAAAGAUAGCUAAUACCGCAUACUAGUAGAUGGACCUGCGUUGUAUUAGCUAGUAGGUAGGGUAAUGGCCUACCUAGGCAACGAAACAUAGCCGACCUUGGAGGGUGGUCGGCCAAACUGGGACUUGGGCACGGCCCAGAAUCCUACGGGAGGCAGCAGUAGGGGAUCUUCGGCAAUGGGGGGAACCCUGACCGCGCAACGCCGCGUGAGGGAAGAAGGUUUUCGGGUCGGAAAGCUCUGUUGGUAAGGAAGCGGUACUUAACCAGAAAGGGACGGCUAACUACGUGCCAGCAGCCGCGGUAAUAC
rnacentral:rRNA from 1 species